rnacentral:lncRNA from 1 species
AAAGGAUUAAAUUCAAUUAAAUAGAGAGGCAUCCUUUUCACCGAUGGCGUGCACGUGUGUAAGAGAAGAAGAAGAGAACAUUACAGUGUGCGUCACUUGAAAAUACUUCUUCACCCAAGGAUGAGUCUCCUUCUGACAUGUGUCGUAAGGACAGCGGAAUUAGCCGCAUACAUAGAGAGAGAAAGAGAGAGGAAGAGAGAGAGUUAUUAUUUUUAAUCUUUAUAUUCGCGUCUAGAUUUUACUUGAGCACAGUUGACUGCCAGAACAAAACAUUACUGGAAUUGAAAGGAUGCAUGAUUGGAACAUGAUGAACUGCUUGAUCUAAGACAUGGCUUUUUUAAAUUGAUUUUAACAAAAAAAAAUAAUUUUUUUUCUGUUUGUGGGGUCCAAGUUACAUAAGAGAUUCUUUAAAAAUAAAAAAUAAAAAAAAGGUUUCUUUGGCUCUUAAAUAGGAGAUUCUUCACACGUCCUGCCUCAAAGAAUUAGACACCCAAAAACCAAGAGAGGAGGAAGCUUGAACAACUCUGAGUCUCUCUCUAAGGAGGAGGAUACAUAAAUACCAAACUCUUUUUUUUUUUUGAGACAUCGAGAGAGAAAGAAAUUC